rnacentral:lncRNA from 1 species
AUAACUACCAGAGUUUUAAAUUAUAACCUCUCAAACUAUUUUUACAUGUUUCUCAGGAAAUGCAUGGUUCUAUCAUGUCAAAAUUUCACAGGAAGCAUGACAAAAGGAGGGUACGAUAGAGUUAAAAAUUAUGAGGUAAGCAUGUUCUUUUAAUUUUUCAGUGGAUUGAUUGCGCAAUUCCACUCUACGUUCUAAAUAAUACUCUGAAAGACUGUCUAGUACUAACUGGAUUGAUUGUGUACUAACUUUUCACUGAAAAUGUAUCAUCUGCAGCAAGACUUCUGCAGAUUCCCUCCUGCAAUGAACUUACAAUGAGUUGUUUCAUUAAUUUGCAAAUAUUGAGGACUCUAGGAUCAGUUUGUUUUGAAAUUGACUAAAAUAUUUCUUACAGAAUUAAUUUAAAAAGAACUAACAAAGUAGGAGAUUAAAUAACAAGUCUCUUUCCCCAAAUUGGGGUGACCUUACAUUUUUUCAUGAAAACUAAUAAUUAAAGAAGGGUCUUGAGAAGUACAUCAAAAUUCCUCAUUUCCCUCAUUUCAAAAAAAAACUCACAGUGAGAGGUUUGCACAAAAUCUUUCCCUCCCCUUCAUCCAAAUGUACCCCCCAAGAAUAAAUUAAAUUGACUAACACCAUUGCUAAGCUAACUAAAUUAAAUAAGCCACAAAAUGUAAUCCAUCUAUGUUGCAGUCUCACAAGCAUGCUGCUGCAACUUCACAUUCUCCCAUUGCUUAACAAGUUCAUUGUAUCCCUUAGCAGAAUCAAUAGCAAACUCUGCCAUUGAGCUCAUAGCACUUGACAUUCCAGCACAAAGUACCUUCACAGCAACCUCAGCCAUUUGCUCAGUAGUCAUCACCUCUUCUACUUGACCAACUUCCACCACUUCCAUAUUCUUCUCAUUUGGUUCUUUCGAUCGUCGAGAAUCUUCUCUUAGCUGUUGCGCAUAGAGGGACCCUACACCAGCUGCAAAAAAGUCUAUGCCAUUAACUACUGCUGUUUCUUGAAUGGCAUCUAGGCGCCUUGACCAAUGAACACAGAGUCCAAACAUUGGGUGAGAGUCACUGGUCAUUCGAGGAGAGCAUGCUAACUUCGAUGCUUCAGGCUCACAUCUCACACCUCGGAGAAACCAGCCGGUUAGAGCAUGAAUGUAGGAUCUCUGAGAUUUGAUCCAUGACUCGAAGGUGUUUCGCCAAUUCCUCAACUCAAUUUCAAGAUUGGAGGAUGAACGAGCAAGCCUCUGUGGAUCAGCUAUUGGCAUGGCACACUGUUUUUUAGCUUCAAUGCAAGCUAGGAGAAUCUUAGCUUCAUCUAAGGCUAUCUUCUGUGUCUGAUGACAUUCCGCCAUCACUUUCCACAUCCGUGCCAGCCUGUAGUUUAUGUAUUGUCAGAAUCAGCAAGCAUGAUAUAUUGUUCUACUACUAAGUAUCGCAAAAUUAAUGAUAUAGGUUAACAAUUAAUUCUAUGUUGGAAUAACUAUGCAUUGUUGUAUUCGUACACAACAUACCCUAGCAUUAGUUUGUCUAAAGAAGGGUCAAAUGUAGCAAAAUGCAAAAUUAGCAGCAUGAUUGAGGUAUGAAAGUGAAAAUACUUCAAAUUUUGGCAGAAGGUUGUGUGGGAGUAAUGAUUUUCAUACGUACUGUUGCAACAAUUCAAGAAGUUGGGGAUGCAACUCUUCAUCCCUUAGAGUUUCAAUUCUUUUGGAAAUAGCUUCAAUUGAGUGCAUUGAAACUGUUAUCUGGGUCUGUAGAUCUCUAAUGGCAGCUCUUGUUUUAUCCACAGAAGAGGGUUCCUCUCCUUCUACAUCACGGUUCCUUAGUUGCUGACAUUUCUUCUCAUAUGCAAGCCGAACACGUGCUCCAGACUGUUGAAGAAGAAGAAAAGGAGCAUAUCAUCAGUUUUCCUAUUAUUGAAAUUGUGCGCAAUCAUAAUAAGCACGAUGACCAGGUAACAACAAUAAUAAUCAGAUACACUGAGAGUAAAAUUAUUGAAUAAGGUUGAAGCUGGCACCUGGUAUAAUGGAAAGAUUUAUAAUCAUCAGUUAGAGAGGUAAUUUGAUUUUUCAUAUUACCAAGAACGAGAAGCUAAAUUUCUUGGAUGAUAGUAAUAACUAUAAGCAAGUUUAGUUAGUUCCCUUUAUUAGAUUGAUAGCUUCAUGAGUGAAUAUUGAUUUGUUUAUCCCUAUAGGAUUGUCUACAUAGCAGCAUGUUUAUUGAAAUAAUGACAAAAUGCAUUUAAUCGUUCAUGUAUAGGAGCUCAGCGAUAUACCCUAACUUCCUUGUAGAGCUUCUUCUCCCAUGCAUAUAACCUGUCUAAUGUUGACUGAUGACUAGAAGAUAACGCACAAUGUUCCAUUAAUGGAUCAUCAGUACUCUUGUAACCUUCAUCCCUUGUGUUAGAAGAAUUCGUUAAAAAUCUUGAUGGCGAAGAGUGUGAAGAAGCAGAGCGGAAAAGAGCUACUGGAUUCAACAAUUUUGAUGCUGCAAAAGAAAUAUAAAUUCAAAUUUAUAUUCCUUAAAAAUUACUACAACUGGAUAUGAGAGAGUACAAAUUAAUUAUCUACAAAAAUCAAAUGAGAAGCUGAGUACUUAGGAACAAGUAAUCUAAAACAAUAAAAGUACAAUUUCUAUGGUGUGGUUUGACUUGGUGAAAAGAAAUGCAGUUGUCAAAUGAACAUUAAUAACUUUCCCCUACAGUAACAAGAGUAAAAAUUCAUGGUAAUGUCAAUAACAAGAUUUGCCCACAUCAUCUAAAUGUUAAUGUCUCCUGCAUAAAUAACUUUUUGAGAAUGAAUGUUAUGCUUGAUACUUGAGGUUUAACUCACAAUUCUGAACACUGCAAAAUACAGGAUCAUGCAAGAAUACUUUCAACAAAGUCAAGAUAUAAUAAUUGGUAUAAUUCCAUCAAACCUGAAAGUUCACUAGAUGUCGAUAAAUACUGAUCUUUAUUGGCAUCUAACAGUGCUGAGACAUCACUAGCUGCAUUGCAGACUACUGU